UAAACGACUCUCGGCAACGGAUAUCUCGGCUCUCGCAUCGAUGAAGAACGUAGCGAAAUGCGAUACUUGGUGUGAAUUGCAGAAUCCCGCGAACCAUCGAGUCUUUGAACGCAAGUUGCGCCCGAAGCCAUUAGGUUGAGGGCACGUCUGCCUGGGCGUCUCAU
rnacentral:rRNA from 4 species